rnacentral:ncRNA from 2 species
UAAUAGAAUAGCUUGUAUGGUGCUGCCGUAAAUAUUCGUAUGCAGCUUAAUAGGGAAGUUCGGUCAAAGUCCGACGCGGUCCCGCCACUGUAUCGCAGAGCUGACUAUCAGUUAAUCCACUGUCUAUUUAAGACGGGAAGGAGAUAGUUUGGCAAUGAAGCGAAGCCAGGAGACCUGCCAUAGAAGCGCUCUAUAU